CGUAGGUGGCAAGCGUUGUCCGGAAUUACUGGGUGUAAAGGGCGUGUAGGUGGGAGAUUAAGUCAGAUGUGAAAGCCCGCAGCUUAACUGCGGUACUGCAUCUGAAACUAGUCUUCUUGAGUGCUGGAGAGGAAAGCGGAAUUCCUAGUGUAGCGGUGAAAUGCGUAGAUAUUAGGAGGAACACCAGUGGCGAAGGCGGCUUUCUGGACAGUAACUGACACUGAGGCGCGAAAGCGUGGGGAGCAAACAGGAUUAGAUACCCUGGUAGUCCACGCCGUAAACGAUGGAUACUAGGUGUAGGAGGUAUCGACCCCUUCUGUGCCGGAGUUAACACAAUAAGUAUCCCACCUGGGGAGUACGGCCGCAAGGUUG
rnacentral:rRNA from 1 species